UUAUUAAAAAUCUGAUUUUGUUUUAACCCAUUAGAUGUUCGAUGCCUGCAGGGCUUUACUCCAUGGAGCCAACUCGGACAGCGUUAAUUAGGAUACCUGGAGCUACAUGACUUUACCAACCGCAGUCACCAUGAUCCGAACAGAAAACUGGAGGCCUGGAGGCAAAUUAGUGUGACACUUGAGAUUUUGGCAGACCGAUGCUGUCCAUCUCUGAGCUGGUUGAGCAGGUUUCCUGAGACACCGACAGCAAACAGACCAUCAGAUACAACUCACAGAGGUCACACAGG